rnacentral:rRNA from 1 species
GACGAACGCUGGCGGCGUGCCUAACACAUGCAAGUCGAACGGAAAGGCCCUGCGCUUGCGGCGCGCACGUGAGGCGCGCGCGUGUGUAUAACGUGUGUAUCCUCCCCCUAACUUUGGGAUAACUUCUCGAAACUGGGGCUCUUAUCGGGUAGAAGCUCCUGCUCCGUGUUGGGGGUUGGAAAAUUUCGGCUGUUGGGGAUAGUCUCGCGGCUUAUCAGCUUGUUGGUGGGGUAGUGGCUGACCAGGGCUUUGAAGGGUAGCCGGCCUGAGAGGGUGACCAGCCACAUUGGGACUGCGAUACGGACCAGACUGCAACGGGAGGCAGCAGUGGGGAAUAUUGCGCAGUGGCCGGAAGCCUGAUGCAACAACGCCGCGUGCGGGAUGACGGCCUUCUGGUUGUAAACCGCUUUCGCCUGUGACGAAGCGUGAGUGACGGUAAUGGGUAAAGAAGCACCGGCUAACUACGUG